CGUGCAAUUGCAAUCUCAUGGUUCCUAGUCGGAUUCGUUGACCACUGAGCCAUGACAGGAACUCCCCCUCCUUGUUUUUUCUUAAUUCUAUUCUGCAUCAGAAUAAUUUCCACCAGUCUGUCUUAAAUCUCAUCAUUCCUCUGCCUCAUGUAUUGUACUAUUGGUUUCUUCUAAGGUAUUUUUCAUUUCAGUUAUUGUAUUAUUUAUCUGUUUGUUCUUUAAUUCUUCUAUUUCUUUGUUAAACAUUUAAUUUCUUAAUCUUUGCCUCCAUCUUUUCCUGAGAUCUUGGAUCAUCUUUAUUAUCAUUACUCUAAAGUCUUUUUCAUGUAGGUUGCCUAUUUCCACUUUACUUAGUAGUUCUUCCAGAGCUUUGUCUUGUUCCUUCAUCUGGAGCUUAUUUCUCUGCUAUUUCAUUUUCGUCUAGCUUUUUGUUUGUGGUCUCCUUUCUGUAGGCUGCAGGGUUGUAGCCCCAGUUGCUUCUCUAGCCCCACCAGCUUCUGCCCACUGGUGACUGAAGUUGGUUCAGGGACUUGUGCCGACUUGACAAUGGGAGGGAUUGGUGUCUGCCCGCUGGUGGGUGGAGCUUGGUCUCAUCCCUUUGUUGGACAAAGCCAUGUUAAGCAGUGGGAUUAGAGGUGGCUGUGUUCCUGCAGUUGGGUGGGGCCAGAAUUUUCCAAAAUGGUAGCCUCCAGAGGAGCUCAUGCCAUUGAUUCCCUGGGAUUUCUGCCUCCACUGUCCAGACCCUACAGUGAGCAGCAGCUGGCCCUUGCCUCUCCAGGAGACCCUCCAAGAUGCACAGGUAGAUCUGGCCCAAAUUCUUAUAAACAUGGUGUUUUAAGAGGAAAAAACUGUGUCCUUUAGUAAGAACCACUUCUGAGAGUAGCACCAAAGGAAUUUCUACCCAGAUGUCUCUUUGAGGGAUUUUACUCAUGUUAUGAGUCAGUUUUCUGUCUGUAUAUAUCCAGAGGAAAAAAUGGUACAAAUGUUAUAUCAAAUCCAAAGUUCAUUCUAUUGAAGUUGACUAAAUACGUGUGCAUAGUAGGUGUGUAGGCUAGAUGUUCAUUUACUAUUGCCGUCCCGGACUUGAGGUGGGAUUAGAUGCAGUUCACAUUUGAAGCAAAGGGUAGGAUUGUCAUGAGAACUAUCCAUUCAUGCUAACAUACAAUCACAACCAUUGCUUCAAAACUCACCUGUACAAUUUUUUGAAUAUUAUCUUUUUGUAUUAGAUGGUAUCGUGAUACCAAUAAUCUCAAAUUUUCAGAUUUAGGAAUGAGUUUCUAGAUAUGAUAGAAUAAUCAUCAAGUCAAAUACUUUUUAAAAAAUAGAUUACCCAAUUUAGUUGUUAGAAAAACAAUUUUUUUUUUUGGCCACACCUGCAGCGUGUGGAAUUUCUCAGGCUAUGGCUUGAACCCAUGCCACUGCAGUGACAAUGCCAGAUCCUUAAUUGCUGCACCACAAGAGAACUCCCUAGAAAAUCAUUUUUAAAUGGAAGACUAGUCAUUUUUUUUUAAGCUGUCUUCAUUAAUACUGUCUUAUAACGUCUUCCCUAGGUGUAAGUGUGUCAGUCAGCUUUUAAACUAGCUGAAGCCUCUCUGGAUGACCCCUUGCUGUGGCAUAAAAUUUGGUGUUGGGAGGUUACCAGGAGGUGUAGAAGGAGUGCUUCGCUGAGGAGACAGAAACUGACAUGGGCAUCCAGGAAUUUUAUAAAUGAUGAAGAGCACUGAGGUGGGAUCUGGAUGGUGGAGCAGGAAGAUGCUGGGCUCACCUGCUGCCACGGACACACCAAACUACAACGCCGUCUAGAACAACUGCGAGAAUGACCUGAAGCCUAGCAGAACCGCUCUUCCACGACUAAGGAUAUAACGAAAAAGCAUUGCGACAGGUGGGAGAGCAGAGUUACAGUCUGAUGAGGACCCACCCCUCCCAGCGAGGCUGCCCACAAGCAGGAGGAGAUAGCAUAAACGUGGCGGUUCUCCCUAAAGAGAGAGGUUCAAGCCCCACAUCAGGCAGCCCAGCCCUGGGGCCCUGCACAGGGAAGAUGAGCCCCUGUCAUGUCCAGCUUGAAAUCGAGCAGGGCUGUGUCUGGAAUUGCUGCAGGGCUAUAGAGGAAGGCCCACUCUUCAAGGGCACUUGCACAACCUCAUUCACUUUGAGUCUCAGUGCAGAGGCAGCAGCUUGAAAAGUGCCCAGGCCGUAUAUGAUAGAGAUUUAUUAACUAACUUUAGAGUGAGUCCCAAAGUGCUCUCAGAUGCUCCCUCUACCUAGCUGACCCAGAGCUGACCAGUCAGACACUUGACAUCUACCUUGCUAGCGCCCUUCUACAGCAGGAGUCCUCGGCUAGUUCUCCCCGACUCCCAAAGCAACUCCCAACCCUGGGGGGCCAGCCCCACUCACAACUGCACUUGCAACUGUUGGGGCUGGGCCCCACUGCUAGCAGCAUUGCCCAGCCAUGCCCACCAGUUUCAGCCAGGUCUCAUAGCCAGCCCUAUCCACGCGUGUGCAUCACAGGAGGACUGCACAGCCCCACAGAAAACAUCCUUGGUUCUAAUGACUGGUCAGGAUUACUCUUACGGGCCCUACAGGAAACCUUCUACUUUGGCCACUUCUUCAAGACCAGAAGAUACAGCCAGUCUACCCACCAGAUAGGAACAAGUCCAGAGGGGGGAAACGAGGAGGCAAAGGAACAUGUUCCCCAUGAAAGAACAAGACAAAACCUCAGAAAAAGAACUGAUCAAACCGAACAUAAGUCAUCAGCCCGAUGGUGUUCAAAGUAGUGCCCACAAAGAUGCUCACCAAACUUGGGAAGAGAAUGAACACAGAACUUCAACACAGAUAAAAACAAAAAGAACCAGUAGGCUGAAGAAUACCAUAACUGAAAUGAACAGUAUACCAGAUGGAAUCAAUAGCAUAUUGGAAGCAAAAUAACAGAAAAACAAUUAGUCACACAUAAGAGAACUCCCGUAAGACUAUCAGCUGAUUUUUCGGUAGAAACUUUAUAAGCCAUAAGGGAGUGACAUAAUAUACUGAAAGCACUGAGAGGUAGAAACGUUACAACCAAGCAAAAAAAGUUUUUGUUUUUUUUUUUUUAAAGCAAAAAAA